rnacentral:rRNA from 1 species
GACGAACCGAGCGAACGUUGUUCGGAAUCACUGGGCUUAAAGGGCGCGUAGGCGGGCUGUCAAGUCUGGGGUGAAAUCCCGCGGCUCAACCGUGGAACUGCCUCAGAUACUGACGGCCUCGAGGGAGGUAGGGGCGAGCGGAACUGUGAGUGGAGCGGUGAAAUGCGUUGAUAUUCACAGGAACUCCGGUGGCGAAGGCGGCUCGCUGGACCUCUUCUGACGCUGAGGCGCGAAAGCUAGGGGAGCAAACGGG